UGGGGAAUAUUGGACAAUGGGGGAAACCCUGAUCCAGCAAUGCCGCGUGAGUGAAGAAGGCCUUAGGGUUGUAAAGCUCUUUCGCCCGCGAAGAUAAUGACGGUAGCGGGAGAAGAAGCCCCGGCUAACUCCGUGCCAGCAGCCGCGGUAAUACGGAGGGGGCUAGCGUUGUUCUGAAUUACUGGGCGUAAAGCGUACGUAGGCGGAUGCGCAAGUUGGGGGUGAAAUCCCGGGGCUUAACCUCGGAAUUGCCCUCAAAACUGCAAGUCUUGAGACCGAGAGAGGUAAGGGGAAUUCCUAGUGUAGCGGUGAAAUUCGUAGAUAUUAGGAAGAACACCAGUGGCGAAGGCGCCUUACUGACUCGGUACUGACGCUGAGGUACAAAAGCGUGGGGAGCAAACA
rnacentral:rRNA from 1 species